AGCGAACGCUGGCGGCAGGCUUAACACAUGCAAGUCGAACGCCCCGCAAGGGGAGUGGCAGACGGGUGAGUAACACGUGGGAACGUACCCUUUGGUUCGGAAUAACUUGGGGAAACUCAAGCUAAUACCGGAUAAGCCCUUAUGGGGAAAGGUUUACUGCCGAAGGAUCGGCCCGCGUCUGAUUAGCUAGUUGGUGAGGUAAUGGCUCACCAAGGCGACGAUCAGUAGCUGGUCUGAGAGGAUGAUCAGCCACACUGGGACUGAGACACGGCCCAGACUCCUACGGGAGGCAGCAGUGGGGAAUAUUGGACAAUGGGGCAACCCUGAUCCAGCCAUGCCGCGUGAGUGAUGAAGGCCUUAGGGUUGUAAAGCUCUUUUGCCCGGGACGAUAAUGACUGUACCGGGAGAAUAAGCCCCGGCUAACUUCGUGCCAGCAGCCGCAGUAA
rnacentral:rRNA from 1 species